UACGUAGGGGGCUAGCGUUGUCCGGAAUCAUUGGGCGUAAAGCGUGCGCAGGCGGUUGUGCAAGACAGAUGUGAAAUCCCCGGGCUCAACCUGGGAAUUGCAUUUGUGACUGCACGGCUAGAGUGUGUCAGAGGGGGGUAGAAUUCCACGUGUAGCAGUGAAAUGCGUAGAGAUGCGGAGGAACACCGAUGGCGAAGGCAGCCCCCUGGGCCAACACUGACGCUCAGGCACGAAAGCGUGGGGAGCAAACAGG
rnacentral:rRNA from 1 species